UUGAAGCAUCCACUACUCUUAAUGUCGACGAUGUGGAUUGAUUUCAUUUUCAUGGCAAUAAUGAACCCACUGCUUGUUGCACUCUUUGCUUCUAAUUCGAUGCAUUGUGGCUUGAUAGAAGGUGGAAAGCUAGUGAUUGCAUGAUGAUUAUAUGGGCAUAUUACAGUCCUUGUGAAAUGCUCGAUGAUUGGCUUCUAAUUCAACGUUGUGUGACUUACAAUAGGUGGGAAACUAGAGGUUGUAUGUUGAACAUAUGGGAAUAUGAUUAAAUGAAAUGAUCGAUGUUUGGCUUA